rnacentral:rRNA from 1 species
UUGGAUUUGGGUCGACCGGGCCGCCGGGCCGCCGCCUCCGUGCGGCGAGUUCCCGUGUGUCCCCGGGACCGCACGUUCACCCCCGCAGUGCUCUUAACUGAGUGUCUGCGGUAGCGGGUGACCGAACGUUUACCUUGACAAAACCGGAGUGCUCGAGGCGUGGGCGUUCGCCGCCCGUACGUCCUCGCUGGGAAUAAUGGAAGAGGACCGUUGGUCAAAAAAGGUUUUUUGUCAGAGAGGUUGGAGAGCAAAAAAGUGGUUGUGCUGGUGGGAGGUUACAAAGGGGGGUGACUCCCUUUCUCUCGCUGGUCUUCCUCUUUCUCCUCCUCGAAACCUUCCUCCCCGCGUACCGCACUGUGGAUCGGAUGGCGCUUUAUGGCGGUAAGGGUGGUUYKAGAAAGAAAGGUGAAAGCAGGUGGCCGUUUGCCGGAAGGUGAAAGCUGGAUGGCCGGUCGUCUGUGGAAACCUGGACAUCUUUUUCCCCCUCGCUGUCGUGGCGCUUCCGUACCCUCGGUGUCAGCGGGAGGAGGUCGAAAAUCAAAAUAAAAAAACGUGUCAUGAUUAAGAGGGACGGCCGGGGGCAUUCGUACCGCGGCGCGAGAGGUGAAAUUCUAGGACCGUCGCGAGACGAACGAUAGCGAAAGCAUUUGCCAAGAAUGUUUUCCUUAAUCAAGAACGAAAGUCGGAGGUUCGAAGGCGAUCAGAUACCGCCCUAGUUCCGACCUUAAACCAUGCCGUCCGACCGCCCGCCAGGGUUACUACCGCGACUCGGCGGGCGGUGACUUUCCACCGGGAAACCCUUAAGCUUUCGGGUUCCGGGGGAAGUACGGUCGCAAAGCUGAAACUUAAAGGAAUUGACGGAAGGGCACCACCAGGAGUGGAGCCUGCGGCUUAAUUUGACUCAACACGGGGAACCUCACCCGGCCCGGACACCGCGAGGAUUGACAGAUCGAUAGCUCUUUCUCGAUCCGGUGGGUGGUGGUGCAUGGCCGUUCUUAGUUGGUGGAGCGAUCUGUCUGGUUAAUUCCGAUAACGAACGAGACUCUAGCCGGUUAAGUAGCCCGAGUGGCGUGUUGUUGAUUAAAAAACCGCCCUAGCGGCACUCGGGGCGCUUCUCUGAAGCUGUCUGGCUUUAACUGUGGUGGGACAGGGAGGUGGAAGAUGACGGUCGGGGUCGCGUGUGUCGUGGCUCGGAUCUAGUUUUUUUAACUUCUCUUAAAUCCCGUCGCGUUUCUGCCUUUCACUUCUGAGGACCUCUGUUUGCUUACCUGGGGUAGAUAAAACGUUAACGAGAGUCGGGGGACAGUGGACGUUACUCGUGGAAUG